UACGAACUGUGCGAACGUUAUUCGGAAUCACUGGGCUUACAGGGUGCGUAGGCGGCUUGUUAAGUAGGGUGUGAAAGCCCCCGGCUCAACCGGGGAAUUGCGCCCUAAACUGGCGAGCCGGAGUGAGAUAGGGGUGUGUGGAACUUCCGGUGGAGCGGUGAAAUGUGUUGAUAUCGGAAGGAACGCCGGUGGCGAAAGCGAGGUCCUGGACGCCUACUGACGCUGAGACGGCGAAAGCCAGGGGAGCGAACGGG
rnacentral:rRNA from 1 species